UAGGGAAUAUUGGUCAAUGGGGGCGACCCUGAACCAGCCAUGCCGCGUGCAGGAAGAAGGCUUUCUGAGUUGUAAACUGCUUUUCUUAAGGAACAAAAAGGUCAUGCGUGAUUUAUUGAGUGUACUUAAGGAAUAAGCACCGGCUAACUCCGUGCCAGCAGCCGCGGUAAUACGGAGGGUGCAAGCGUUGUCCGGAUUUAUUGGGUUUAAAGGGUGCGUAGGCGGUUGAUUAAGUCAGUGGUGAAAUCCUGCAGCUUAACUGUAGAACUGCCAUUGAUACUGGUUGACUUGAGUACUGUUGAGGUAGGCGGAAUUUUUGGUGUAGCGGUGAAAUGCAUAGAUACCAUAAAGAACACCGAUAGCGUAGGCAGCUUACUAGACAGUGACUGACGCUGAGGCACGAAAGCGUGGGGAGCGAACGGGAUUAGAUACCCGCGUAGUCC
rnacentral:rRNA from 1 species